UACGGGGGGAGCAAGCGUUGUUCGGAUUUACUGGGCGUAAAGGGCGCGUAGGCGGCCACCGCAAGUCGACUGUGAAAUCUCCGGGCUUAACCCGGAAAGGUCAGCCGAUACUGCAGGGCUAGAGUGCAGAAGGGGCAACUGGAAUUCUCGGGGUAGCGGUGAAAUGCGUAGAUAUCGAGAGGAACACCUGCGGCGAAGGCGGGUUGCUGGGCUGACACUGACGCUGACAGCGCGAAAGCUAGGGGAGCGAACGGG
rnacentral:rRNA from 1 species